rnacentral:rRNA from 1 species
UGUACACGCUGUGACUAGCAUAUCAAUAAGCGGAGGAAAAGAAACUAACAAGGAUUCCCCUAGUAACGGCGAGUGAAGCGGGAAGAGCUCAAAUUUGAAAUCUUAAAGGGUUUCCCUUUACGAAUUGUAGUUUAAAGAAGUGUUUUCUGUUGAGGUUUUGGUAAAAGUUCUUUGGAAUAGGACAUCAUAGAGGGUGAGAAUCCCGUAUUUGACCUUUACUUUCAACUUUGUGAUACACUUUCAAAGAGUCGGAUUGUUUGGGAAUGCAGUCCAAAAUGGGUGGUAAAUUUCAUCUAAAGCUAAAUAUUGGCGAGAGACCGAUAGCGAACAAGUACCGUGAGGGAAAGAUGAAAAGAACUUUGAAAAGAGAGUUAAACAGUACGUGAAAUUGUCAAAAGGGAAGCGUUUGACACCAGUGUUGUUUUUCUGAAAAUCAAUUAAAGAACUGUUUAUGCUAAGUUGUUUAGACUUUAUCAGCUAACUGUUUAGUUUUGAGCUUUUCUUUAAUGCACUUUUCAGUUAACAAGUCAACAUCAAUUUCUUUUGCUGUAAAAAAGCUUGAGGAAGGUGGCUUGAGAUUCGUCUUAAGUGUUUAUAGCCUCUUGCCUAUGCAGUCGGAGAGAUUGAGGUCUGCAGCGUAGAUCCUUCGGGGCUAAAUGCAUUUGUGCUAAGUUAUAACAUUUUCAUAGACAACUUGUUGACUAUGAUUUGUCUUGUAGCUUACUCGCUUAUGUUAUUUUACCUACGCUUAGGAUGUUGACGAGACUGUCGAUCUC